rnacentral:rRNA from 1 species
ACGAAGUAGCAAUACUUAGUGGCAGACGGGUGAGUAACAUGUAGGUAUCUGCCCUUUGGCCUGGAAUAACACGAGGAAACUUGUGCUAAUACCGGAUAAGUCUUUACGGAGAAAGCUUUAUGCACCAUUGGAUGAGCCUGCACUUGAUUAGUUUGUUGGUGGGGUAAUGGCCUACCAAGACUGUGAUCAAUAGCUGAUUUGAGAGGAUGAUCAGCCACAUUGGGACUGAGACACGGCCCAAACUCCUACGGGAGGCAGCAGUGGGGAAUCUUGCACAAUGGAGGAAACUCUGAUGCAGCGAUGCCGCGUGAGUGAAGAAGGCCCUUGGGUUGUAAAGCUCUUUCGUCGGGGAAGAAAAUGACUGUACCCGAAUAAGAAGGUCCGGCUAACUUCGUGCCAGCAGCCGCGGUAAUACGAAGGGACCUAGCGUAGCUCGGAAUUACUGGGCUUAAAGAGUUCGUAGGUGGUUGAAAAAGUUAGUGGUGAAAUCCCAGAGCUUAACUCUGGAACUGCCAUUAAAACUUUUCAGCUAGAGUAUGAUAGGGGAAAGCAGAAUUUCUAGUGUAGAGGUGAAAUUCGUAGAUAUUAGAAAGAAUACCAAUUGCGAA